rnacentral:rRNA from 1 species
UCGAGAAUUUUUCUCAAUGGGGGAAACCCUGAAGGAGCGACGCCGCGUGGAGGAUGAAGGUCUUCGGAUUGUAAACUCCUGUCAUUGGUGAACAAGGCCCACGCAGUAACUGGUGUUGGGUUUGAUAGUAGCCGAAGAGGAAGAGACGGCUAACUCUGUGCCAGCAGCCGCGGUAAUACAGAGGUCUCAAGCGUUGUUCGGAUUCAUUGGGCGUAAAGGGUGCGUAGGCGGCAGGGUAAGUCUGGAGUGAAAUCCCGGGGCUCAACCCCGGAACUGCACUGGAUACUGCUUUGCUAGAGUACUGGAGAGGGAACUGGAAUUUACGGUGUAGCAGUGAAAUGCGUAGAUAUCGUAAGGAAGACCAGUGGCGAAGGCGAGUUCCUGGACAGUUACUGACGCUGAGGCACGAAGGCCAGGGGAGCAAACGGG